ACGUAAAACUUAAAAAAACAGGAGUAAAUCCAGUACUACUAUUUACAGAUGCCCUGCUAGCCAUCAAGGCAAUGGGCAAAGCUUCUACCCAGGUCAGUUUGGAAUUGGGACAGGAUAAGAUUUUAAUUGGCAGAUACAAUUAUCGAUUCUGCUUAUCAAUCCGAUUCCUUAUCGAUUCUCUUAUCGAUACCUCGUGAAUUUUUUGUGUACUAAAAGUAGACUUUACAGGUUUUCUAUGUCAGCAACAUUUU